UACGUAGGGUGCGAGCGUUAAUCGGAAUUACUGGGCGUAAAGCGUGCGCAGGCGGUUCUAUAAGACAGAUGUGAAAUCCCCGGGCUCAACCUGGGAACUGCAUUUGUGACUGUAGAGCUGGAGUACGGUAGAGGGGGAUGGAAUUCCGCGUGUAGCAGUGAAAUGCGUAGAUAUCAGGAGGAAUACCGAUGGCGAAGGCAGGUCUCUGGGCUGACACUGACGCUCAUGCACGAAAGCGUGGGGAGCAAACAGG
rnacentral:rRNA from 1 species